UCCUUUUUGCGUAUCCAAGCAUCUCCUUUAAAGCUUCAAUCAAUGGAAUAUUUACGUGAAUUUGCUUAAGCGUCUGAAAGAACUUUUCGUACUGCUCCUCAUUUUGAUGCUUGGCCAACCUCUGUGGAAAUGGUUCAGGAGGUCCUUUCUUCCCAAUCACUUGGGACUUUUCUUUCUCAGCUACUAUCUCCACUACCAACUCUUCAACUGCUUCUGCAACUUUCUCUAUCUCCUGCUGAAUAUUCUUUUCUUCCAGAACAGGCCGG
rnacentral:lncRNA from 1 species